rnacentral:rRNA from 1 species
UGGGGAAUAUUGGACAAUGGGCGCAAGCCUGAUCCAGCCAUGCCGCGUGAGUGAUGAAGGCCCUAGGGUUGUAAAGCUCUUUCACCGGUGAAGAUAAUGACGGUAACCGGAGAAGAAGCCCCGGCUAACCUCGUGCCAGCAGCCGCGGUAAUACGAAGGGGGCUAGCGUUGUUCGGAUUUACUGGGCGUAAAGCGCACGUAGGCGGACUAUUAAGUCAGGGGUGAAAUCCCGGGGCUCAACCCCGGAACUGCCUUUGAUACUGGUAGUCUUGGGUUCGAGAGAGGUGAGUGGAAUUCCGAGUAUAGAGGUGAAAUUCGUAGAUAUUCGGAGGAACACCAGUGGCGAAGGCGGCUCACUGGCUCGAUACUGACGCUGAGGUGCGAAAGCGUGGAGAGCAAACAGG